rnacentral:misc_RNA from 1 species
GACAAAAGCAGCACCGCCACAAGGUAGAGUUGGUUGCGUGGUGUUGGCUCCAUGAAAAUGAAGGCUUUAAGCUGUGGUGUUUGGAGAAUAUAUAUAUAUGCAUAAAGCCAAGCAGAAUAAUGUUGACUCCAUGGUCAAAAGUCUCGAUUGAAAAUGGAAAAAUAUUUGCGUUAGAUCAAUGUAAAGAUAGGACAAAGACUAGAGAGAUUGGAGAAUAAUUUAGUGGAAUGGAAGCACCUAACUUUGUGGGGACUUUCCGGGAAAAACAAGGGAAUAAAGUAUAAGAAAAGUAGUUGUGGAAAAUUAUGCAAAGCUCAAUUGCUUUCUUGGGUCUUCACUGUGG